ACGAACGCUGGCGGCGUGCUUAACACAUGCCAGUCGAACGGAAAGGCCCUGCUUGCAGGGUACUCGAGUGGCGAACGGGUGAGUAACACGUGGGUGAUCUGCCCUGCACUUCGGGAUAAGCCUGGGAAACUGGGUCUAAUACCGGAUACGACCUUCCAUGUAGUGUGGGGGGUGGAAAGAUUUAUCGGUGUGGGAUGAGCCCGCGGCCUAUCAGCUUGUUGGUGGGGUAAUGGCCUACCAAGGCGUCGACGGGUAGCCGGCCUGAGAGGGUGGACGGCCACAUUGGGACUGAGAUACGGCCCAGACUCCUACGGGAGGCAGCAGUGGGGAAUAUUGCACAAUGGGCGGAAGCCUUAUGCAGCGACGCCGCGUGGGGGAUGACGGCCUUCGGGUUGUAAACCUCUUUCGACAGGGACGAAGCUUCGGUGACGGUACCUGUAUAAGAAGCACCGGCUAACUACGUG
rnacentral:rRNA from 1 species